UUAUUCCACAGUGCUGCUUCAGCAGAGGCCUUGGUGGAUCGCUGGCUGUGUAGGGCCCCAUGCUUGACAGCUACAUGAGCUUACAGACCACCUAUCGGUUUCUAGUUCAGCUUCUGCUCCACCUCCUGCCAGCCGUCACGUCUCUGUGGGACACCUCCCUUGACCUUGGAAUCCUUGAAGUCCAUUGGAAAGUUGUGCUGAAGUAAAGUGCUUCUUUCAGAGUGGUCUUGUGGCUGUCCUUCAGUUGUCAGUAGCAGUUAAGUAAAGUCUGCUCCUUGUGGAGAUCUGACCAGAAGAGUUGGGUUGGAAUUUCAACACUGCCCCGAGAGGGAGGCGAGGGGAGGAGGGAGGAGCUAUAUAUAGACUACUGGCGGUCGUUCUCUUACAUACCCACCACUCCCACUGACCCCCUACUCAUACACAAGUGCACACACAAGCAAACAGAUAUACUCACAGACACACAAACACACACACACAUACGGAGAAGUAAUAUAUCUGGGAAAAAAGUUAUGCGGUCGAAUGGUAAAGCAAGUGGUAUGAAUCUAACUCAAGGUAGACGGUAAACAGAGCUAAUCGGGAACUGCUUCACCACGACAUGACUUUAAAGUCACAAUGUAUAUCCUAAAAGGUUUACUACCACAAACACACAGCGACGACCCUCAGCAAGACCUGGCAGAACCGAAUCUGACACUGUGCGACUGACUCAUGACCAACUAUGCGAAGCACCUCAGGAGGUAGAGAGGGUCGUCUCUGAACCUGAUGGUCAGUGGUUCGAUCCCCGGCUCCCCGAUGGGCACCCUGAUUUGGAGAAGAUACUGAAGAUACUGCUGUAUGAAUCUGAACAAAUUAACAGCACUGAAAGAAUGUGUGUGUCGGUGAUAAGACUCGAAACUAGACCAUAAAUCAUGUACAGACAAAUAAAAAGUUGCUGCA